UUAUCAUCUUUGUUUGCAUUGUGCGAAUAGAGAGUAAAAACGUAUUUAAAUCAGUCAGAAUUCGACAUUAAGCGGAUAUUUGACCGCUUAUUGGAAUAUCUGAACUACUCUUAGUCACAUGUUCAUACUCGAUGAAACAUAGUAAAUCGAUAUAAACGCCUGCAUGUAUGUACAUAAUUAAACAUUAAUGCGGUAGUCGCUUCGUUCUAACUCAUGCUGUAAGCGUUAUUUUGCUAGAUUGUUUCAGUUAACGUAUAAUUUAGAUGGGUAUUUCAUUCGGGCGACUGUUGAGCGUGCUGUAGGUGAUGUUUCUGUACGAGUAAAGACGAGAACACUGCCAAUUAAUGUAAAAACAAAUUAACAAACAAUGAUGUCAAUGUAAAUACAAUUAUAUGCUUGAUGUAAAUCAACAAGCAACCAGGCGGUGUGGAAUACAGUAUAGAGCACAUGCGCGCUAGGCCCAUGUCACGUGACGAUGGUCAAGCGGAUGCACGCGAUGAUAAAUACUGUGACUGUUUUACAAGAGUUUAAUUAACCGCAUCACAUGCUUGGGUUUUAGUCUACUUUUUCACAUGGUUUUACAAGAGCAAUAAACAGCAUCCCAUGCUUGGGUUUUAGUCUACUUUUUCACGUGGU